CUUUAUCUCGGUGAUGCUGCCACGGCUGGGUGGGGCCUGGGGAAGCCUGAGCAGGUGGAGCCCCAAAGAAUUGCUGAGCCAGGUGCCGGGAGACCCUUCGGACCCCCGAAACGGCAGGAGGACUGAUGAGGGGUGCGCCUUGGAAACGAUGUCAGCUCUGCUCUUCCGCUUUCCGUGUUAUUUUCCUGGAUCAGUGACAUUCGAGCAGGAACCGCCCCUUCAUGCAGGAACCACAUCAAAUCAAGCUGCAGCUUGAUCGCCUUCAACUCCGACCGUCCUGGUGUACUGGGCAUUGUGCCUCUGCAAGGCCAAGGAGAGGACAAGCGACGCGUGGCCCACCUGGGCUGCCAUUCAGACCUAGUCACCGACUUGGACUUCUCGCCCUUUGAUGACUUCCUCCUGGCCACAGGCUCGGCUGACAGGACGGUAAAACUCUGGCGACUGCCAGGGCCUGGCCAGGCCCUGCCCUCAGCACCCGGGGUGGUGCUGGGCCCCGAGGACCUCCCAGUGGAGGUACUGCAGUUCCACCCCACCUCUGACGGCAUUCUGGUGAGCGCAGCAGGCACCACUGUGAAGGUCUGGGACG
rnacentral:lncRNA from 1 species